rnacentral:lncRNA from 1 species
UCACCGGCGAUGGGACGAUCAGCGAUGAUCUGGAUGACAAGUGUGAGAUGGUUCUCACGCGCUGCUGUGUCGUCGACGGUGAGCUUGAUCUGAUGAUUCCAUUUAGGUUUCGUCCCGCAGUCUUUGUCCACCUUCGUCUUUUGCUUGGUCCUUGCGUCGUUGUUGAGGGAAACGACGGCGUACAAGUCUUGCUUGCCGAUCAGCUGGAUGUCCUUGAGGUCCUCUGCGGAUAUGAUCGUCAGAUCCAACGGCCUACACUCCAUCGUUUUAAAGAGAA